CCAUGGAACAAGUCUGCCAGCCCUCAACCCUGUCACUGAAGAGAAACUACCCCUGAACACGCUAUCCGCCAAGGCUGCUCCUGGGUUCCUUAAAGUGGAGUGAAAACUUAAAGCACGUGAACAUUCCCGGUGCAGAAGACGUCAAGAUUCUUACGGCUCUCCCCCAGUUUGUUAACGACUGUUUCACCCAUACCUGCUCCCAUCUUGAGAUCCUCACCUUUAUCGUUUGCCCCAGCGCGGCUGCAGAGAAAUACACUUUAUUGCCACUCGUA